CUGGGAGGCAGAGGUUGCGGUGAGCCGAGAUCACGCCAUUGCACCCUAGCCUGAGCAACAAGAGCAAAACUGCGUCUCAAAGAAAAAACAAAAAAAGAAUAAGAGGACUAAUAACUAUUUGAAUCCCUGGCAGUUUACAUCUGAGUACCUUCUCCAAGUGACACAUUAAGAGUUAUGACUAAUGAAGUUUGCUUCCAAAGUUAUAUGAAAUAAUGCCCUCUUUUUUGGUCUCCUGGAUAAUAGGCUAGGUUUGGCCUUCCUUGAUAUUCAGUUAUUUGGAGCUCAAAGUGGACAAGAGCUGUUGCUGCCCCUAUCCUGGGAAGCUAAUCCUUCACAUGCUGCUAACUUGGGUUAGAUCUUCUGCCAGCAGAACCUCACCCGUCUUUCCCCUCCAAGCAAGUCAGUGCCGGUGAUUCCUUGGACACCAGAAAUGCUAAUCUUGUCUAUUUGAAUAGGCCUAAAGGAUGUUGGCAAAGGAUGAACUGAUGACCAUACUUGAGAAAUGUUUCAAGGUUUUUAAGUCUUAUUGUGAAAACCACCUUGGCAGCACAGCUAAGAGAAU
rnacentral:lncRNA from 10 species